AUUGAACGCUGGCGGCAGGCCUAACACAUGCAAGUCGAACGAGUGGCGGACGGGUGAGUAAUGUCUGGGAAACUGCCCGAUGGAGGGGGAUAACUACUGGAAACGGUAGCUAAUACCGCAUACCAUCGGAUGUGCCCAGAGGGGAUUAGCUAGUAGGUGGGGUAACGGCUCACCUAGGCGACGAUCCAUAGCGGGUCUGAGAGGAUGACCAGCCAAACGGGAACUGAGACACGGUCCAGACUCCUACGGUAGGCAGCAGUGGGGAAUAUUGCACUAUGGGCGCAAGCCGGAUGCAGCCAUGCCGGGUGUAUGAAGAGGGCCUUCGGGUUGUAAAGUACUUUCAGCGAGGAGGCGUUACUCGCAGAAGAAGCACCGGCUAACUCCGUGCCAGCAGCCGCGGUAAUAC
rnacentral:rRNA from 1 species